rfam:Tepidanaerobacter acetatoxydans Re1 complete genome
AACAACCUUCAGGGCGGGGUGAAAUUCCCCACCGGCGGUAAGCUCGAGAGAGUAAGCCCGCGAACUUCGAUGAGGAGCCGAUUUGGUGCAAAUCCAAAGCCGACAGUAUAGUCUGGAUGGAAGAAGGUUCAU